CUCUACCUCCCAGGUUCAAGCGAUUCUCCUGCCUGAACUGGUUGUGAUUUUCCUGCUUCUUGGUUUGAUGAAUAAUUUUCAACUCUACCCUGGAUAUUUUGGAUACUAAUUUUGAGACUCUGGAUCCUCUGCAAUCUCCUUGUGUUUACCCAGUAGUCCCUGCUGAGAUGCAGCAUGAAAGCUUAUGAUUGUGAAUUCUGCUUCCCAUGGGUCCUGUCAACACCAUCUCAGCAAACAUGGAACCAGCAGAAGGAGAGACUGGGAAGAUCUGUCCCCUUGUGCAGAGGCAGCAUGCAAGCACACGAGCCCAAACCCCAUGAGGAGCUCCUGCUGCAACUGGGGGCAGUUUCUUCAUAAAAGGCAAGUCGGAAAAAAACACAUUAUUUUCUCUCAUAGGGAUUUUCCCUUCGAACCUUGUUAACCCAGAAUA
rnacentral:lncRNA from 1 species